ACCCUACAAACAUCUAGAUGAUGG
rnacentral:siRNA from 1 species